ACUCAACAGAAGAUUUCUCUAUACCCGUUUAAAUUACCUCGGGUUCUCGCUCAUAGGAAGGAAUGAUGAUUCUUGAUGCUUAAUCACAUGGACCAGAUAAAGAUGUUUUCAAUUUUGCACGUUUCUUCACCAGAAUCUGAAGCGGUCCGCUUAACAUUCCUACUGGAACUCAACAAAAGGUUUUUCUAUACCCAUUUAAGUUACCUCGAAUUCUCGUUCAUAGGAAGGAAUGGUUGUUCUUGAUGCUUAGUCACAUUGGCUAGGAUGCAGAUGCUUUCAAUUUUGUAUGUUCCUUCAUGAAAAUCUGAGGCGGUCCGCUUAACAUUGUAACUGGAACUCAACAGAAGAUUUCUCUAUACCCAUUUGAAUUACCUCAAGUUCUCGUUCAUAGGAAGGAAUGAUGAUUCUUGAUGUUUAAUCGCUUUGGCCAGAUGAUGCUUUCAAGUUUGUAGGUUCCUUCGUCAAAAUCAGAGGCGGUCUGCUUAACAUUCUAACUGGAACCCAAUAGAAGGUUUCUCUAUAUCCAUUUAAGUUACCUCGAGUUCUCGUUCAUAGGAAGAAAUGAUUGUUCUUAAUGCUUAGUCACGUUGACUAGAUACAGAUGCUUUCAAUUUUGUAUGUUCCUUAAUGAAGAUCUAUCUGAGGCGGUCCGCUUAACAUUCCUACUGGAACUCAACAAAAGGUUUUUCUAUACCCAUUUAAGUUACCUCGAGUUCUCGUUCAUAGGAAGGAAUGGUUGUUCUUAAUGCUUAGUCACAUUGGCUAGAUGCAGAUGCUUUCAAUUUUGUAUGUUCCUUCAUGAAAAUCUGAGGCGGUCCGCUUAACAUUGUAACUGGAACUCAACAGAAGAUUUCUCUAUACCCAUUUGAAUUACCUCAAGUUCUCGUUCAUAGGAAGGAAUGAUGAUUCUUGAUGUUUAAUCGCUUUGGCCAGAUGAUGCUUUCAAGUUUGUAGGUUCCUUCGUCAAAAUCAGAGGCGGUCUGCUUAACAUUCUAACUGGAACCCAAUAGAAGGUUUCUCUAUAUCCAUUUAAGUCACCUCGAGUUCUCGUUCAUAGGAAGAAAUGAUUGUUCUUAAUGCUUAGUCACGUUGACUAGAUACAGAUGCUUUCAAUUUUGUAUGUUCCUUAAUGAAGAUCUAUCUGAGGCGGUCCGCUUAACAUUCCUACUGGAACUCAACAAAAGGUUUUUCUAUACCCAUUUAAGUUACCUCGAGUUCUCGUUCAUAGGAAGGAAUGGUUGUUCUUAAUGCUUAGUCACAUUGGCUAGAUGCAGAUGCUUUCAAUUUUGUAUGUUCCUUCAUGAAAAUCUGAGGCGGUCCGCUUAACAUUGUAACUGGAACUCAACAGAAGGUUUCUCUAUACCCACUUAAGUUACCUCGAGUUCUCGUUCAUAGGAAGGAAUGAUGAUUCUUGAUGCUUAAUCACAUGUACCAGAUAAAGAUGUUUUCAAUUUUGCACGUUUCUUCACCAGAAUCUGAAGCGGUCCGCUAACCUUCCGACUGGAACUCAACAGAAGGUUUCUCUAUACCCAUUUAAAUUACCUCGAGUUCUCGCUCAUGGGAAGGAAUGAUUGUUCUUGAUGCUUAGUCACACACACAGAUGAAAAUGUUUUCAAUUUUGCAUGUUUCUUCACCAAAAACUGAAGCGGCCCUUUUAACAUCCGAACUGGAACUCGACACAAGGUUUCUCUAUAUCCAUUUAAAUUACCUUCAAUUCCCGCUCGUUGUAAGGAAUGAUCACUUUUGAUGUUUAGUUAUAUGGACCAGACAGAGAUGUUUUCAAUUUUGCGAAGAAUUCUCAAUCAAAAUCUGAACCGACCCGUUUAGCACCCUAACAAAAAUAAUUAUAAGAAAUAGGAAAUAUAUAUGUAUCUUAACUUGUCUUCACGAGUUCUUUUAGAUAAUUCCCAUCAUGAAAGUUCAGUAAAAUGCAACGCAAUAUUAUUUUCCACUUCGGAGACUAGGGGUUGGCUCGAUAGUUCGUCAAUGUCACAAAUGGUACUGUUGAUAAUGUGGAAUCGAACUGGAACCCAACAAAAGGUUGUUCUGUAUCCAUUUUAAUUACCUGGAGUAGUCGCUUAAGUAGACCGAACGAUGAUUCUUGAUGUUUUCAAUUUUGCAUUAGUUUCUUCCCCAAAAAUUGAAGUGGUCCGACUAACAUCCUAAUAAAAAUAGUUUUAGGAAAUAGCAAAUACAUAUACAUCUCAAACUUGUCUUCAUAAGUUUUGUUUGGUAGUUCCCCAUAUGCCGUCCGAUAAAUAGCAAGGCAAUACUUUCUUCCAGACUGGAGACUUGAGGAUUGAUUUUAAGAGUCACAAAUGGAAGAGUAAUGUCAUCCAGUACAACCACUUAAUUUGAAUUGUCGUAAAAGAAGUAAACUGGAACCCAACAAAAGGUUGUUCUAUAUCCAUUUUAAUUACCUGAAGGUUUGGGUCAGUGGUAGGAACGAUGAUUCUAGAUGUUUAAUCGUAUUGACCAGAUAAAGAUGAUUUCAAUUUUGUACAAGAUCUGUGGCCCGCCUAACAUUCUAACUGGAACUCAACAAAAGGUUGCUGUAUCCAUAUUUCAAUUACCUGGAGUUCUCGCACAUUGGAAGAAAUGAGGAUUCUUGACGUAUACAUGUCGAAUUCUUCAAUUUGAUGAUUUUUAGUUACAUUGGCCAGAUAAAGAAAACAAUUUUGAAUCAAACCAAAAUUUGAAGUGACCCGUUUAACAUCCUAAUAAAAAUAGUGUUAGGAAAUAACAAAUAUGCAUGUAUUUAUACUUUUCUUCUGGUUUGGUAGUUUUCAUGUCCAAUAAAUUGCGACGCAAUAUUUUCGCUCACUUCACCGGUACAAAAUAAUAUUAACAAAAAUUGCACAUGAAAAAGUUCAUCCUUUUAUAUUACUUCACUUAUUUACUUUUUCAACUUUUAACUUGCACGAUUCACUCAAGAAAUUGGGGAAUAUAUUACACCUUAGUCAAAUUCACAAUUAAUUGGAAGUAAAAAACUGAAUUCGGUCUUCAUGUGUGGGUUGUCUUCUGGUGAAUACAAAUGUAAGCAUGUGGAUGGAACUAAAACUUAACAGAAGUUGUUCUAUAUGGAUUCAGUUACCUGCAAGUUGGUCUCAACAAACUUCGCUUAUUUAAAAUCUUCAAAGAUUUUUUUCAACAAAAAUGAAUGAAAUCUUGUAGUGUAGUUAUUUCUGUUCAAAGACACUAUGCAUCCUAAUAAGAUAAUGAUGAAAAUCAAAUA